rnacentral:rRNA from 1 species
GUCUGUGGCCUUACCACCCUGAAACAUGCCCGGUCUGAUCUUGGAAGCUAAGCAGGGUUGGGCCUGGAUAGAGCCUAGAAGGGAGAAUUGGUUCUUGUUUUGUCCUCUGGUGACACCUUUC